ACUUGCCAUUAGAAGAAUUGUUGUACUUCUUUAUAACAAAUAUGAUCAUUGUUUUGGCAAUACUUUCAUACGAUAAAGCUCGUGGUAUGAUGGAAACAUUUACAAUGGAAUUUCCAGAACGGUUUGGUUUUAAUUUGAAGUUUGCCAGUCAAUUAUUUUGUGCAUUUAUUACCCCGGAAUAUUCAAUGCCUUCGAUAGUGGUAAAAGACAUAACAAAGCUAAUGAGACUGGUUAAUUCCGCUUCAAAAGUUAUCCGUUAUUGUAGUAUUGUCUUUCCAUCAGGAAUCCGAAUGGAUUUAUUGAUUGCUUACACAUUUGCUCGAAUAACAGAUGAUAUGAUCGAUGAUAAAUCAUUACACAUUGAAGAAAAGAAACCAAAAUUGAAGCUGUUCAUACAGUUUCUUGAUGAACUAUUUGCAGGCAGAAAAUCGGAUUACGAUAUUAAAAGAAAACCAUACAUACCAAAAAUCAAUUGGCCACUGUACCAAUCACAAUUUUCCGAUGUUCAAAUGUCAUGUUGCCGUGCACUCUCUAGAAUAGCGUUCUAUUUACCUCGUAAGCCAUUUUACGAUCUCCUAGAAGGUUUUAAAUGGGAUGUUGAACAUCUGAUGACGGGAUGAAUAAUAUUAUCGAAAAACACGAUAAUAUCGUUGAAAAAUCACAGCAAUUAGCACGAGAUUUACAACUCGUGAAUAUUGCCCGUGAUAUCAUCUACGAUAGCGUUACGGUAGGUCGAACCUAUAUACCGACUUCAUUUUUGGACGAUG
rnacentral:misc_RNA from 1 species